rnacentral:rRNA from 1 species
CCUACGGGGGGCAGCAGUGGGGGAUAUUGGACAAUGGGGGGAACCCUGAUCCAGCGACGCCGCGUGAGUGAAGAAGUAUUUCGGUAUGUAAAGCUCUGUCAGCAGGGAAGAAAGAAAUGACGGUACCUGACCAAGAAGCCCCGGCUAACUACGUGCCAGCAGCCGCGGUAAUACGUAGGGGGCAAGCGUUAUCCGGAUUUACUGGGUGUAAAGGGAGCGUAGACGGCUAAUCAAGUCAGAAGUGAAAACCCAGGGCUGAACCUUGGGACUGCUUUUGAAACUGAGUAGCUAGAGUGCAGGAGAGGUAAGCGGAAUUCCUAGUGUAGCGGUGAAAUGCGUAGAUAUUAGGAGGAACACCAGUGGCGAAGGCGGCUUACUGGACUGUAACUGACGUUGAGGCUCGAAAGCGUGGGGAGCAAACAGGAUUAGAUACCCCAGUAGUC